AAUCUUUUCCCACUUACUUUCUUUGCUGCAAUGACCAUGUACUCAUCUCCUUGGGAUUAUAAGGUUGUGUCUGCAUUCUGAGAAGUUAUGAAAUAUUGGGCUUCAAAGAUUUUGCGUUCCAAAUAGCAAAGCUGGGCCAGGCAGGCAAGUUGGACUGAAUGCAUCUAUAAGUUUUAGGAGAGGUUGUGAGGCAGAGAAGACGUCCAGUCCACCUGCACCUCCACUUCAAUCUCCUGUCGAGACCCAUCCUCCACUUCCUGCUGAGCCCCACCUUCCACGUGUUCAGGGUCCUGCUCACUCUCAAAGGCCUCAUUGUCCACACCCAGAGGGGCCACCGGCACCAACCCAUUCUGUAGCAGACAUCAGUGACUUAUAUCAAAGUGCCCAGCUCAAACACUACACCGGUCAGCAAACCCACGUCCAGCCCCAAGACGAUGCAGGAAAUGCAUGUGAACACCCAAAUGAAC